GAGGGUAUAGCUCAGUUGGUAGAGUGUGUGUUUAGCAUGCACAAGAUCCUGGGCUCAAUUCCCAGUAACUCCA
rnacentral:tRNA from 1 species